rnacentral:rRNA from 1 species
AGUGAACGCUGGCGGCAGGCCUAACACAUGCAAGUCGAACGGCAGCGCAGCAGUAGCAAUACUGUGGGCGGCGAGUGGCGGACGGGUGAGGAAUACAUGGGAAUCUGCCCUGUCGUGGGGGAUAACGUAGGGAAACUUACGCUAAUACCGCAUACGACCGGAAGGUGAAAGCGGCGGACCGCAAGGCGUCGCGCGACCGGAUGAGCCCAUGUCGGAUUAGCUAGUUGGCGGGGUAAAGGCCCACCAAGGCGACGAUCCGUAGCUGGUCUGAGAGGAUGAUCAGCCACACUGGAACUGAGACACGGUCCAGACUCCUACGGGAGGCAGCAGUGGGGAAUAUUGGACAAUGGGCGCAAGCCUGAUCCAGCCAUGCCGCGUGAGUGAAGAAGGCCUUCGGGUUGUAAAGCUCUUUUGUCCGGAAAGAAAAGCUUCGGGUUAAUACCCCGGGGUCCUGACGGUACCGGAAGAAUAAGCACCGGCUAACUUCGUGCCAGCCGCCGCCGUAAGAC